ACGGGAAUAGACCACGACGCCCAGCUAGUUUUUGUAUUUUCAGUAGAGGCAGGAUUUCACCCGGUUAGCCAGGCUGGUCUCAAACUCCUGAGCUCAAGUGAUCUGCCUGCCUCAACCUCCCAAAGUGCUGGGAUCACAGGUGUGAGCCACUGUGCCUGGCCCACUGUAUUGUCUUUUGUGUCUUGUCUUUCUCAGUUAACAUUUUGUUUCUCAGAUUCAUCCACAUAUAGUUAGAGUUUUGUCAUUUCCAUUAUUGUGUAGUAUUUCAUUAUGAAUAUACCGUAAUUUAUCAAUUUUCCUUUUGGGGGACAUUUGAGUUUUCAACUUGGGGCUAUUACAUGCAGUACUUCUAUCCAUGGGUCUUGGUGCACAUGUGCAUGAGAAGGAUUCCUGGGUUAUAGAGUGUGUCUUCAGUUUUACUGAUAAUACCAGAUAGUUUUCCAAAGCCAUAUUAGUUUAUGUUCUCACUAGUAGUAUAAAAAUGUUCGCAUUCUCUCUACCUUUGUCAAAUCUUGGCAUUGUCAGAGUAUAUGAUUAUUGAUUAUUGUAAACACAUGGGAGUGUAGUAUACAGUUUAUUCUCCAAACUUGCCUUUUAAAAAACACAAUACAGCCUGGAAUUUAUGCUAUCAAAAAUAUGAAGACAUUCAUUUGUAUGCUUGUAUAACAUAUUAUGAUAUCAAUACCUUACUUUUUCCCUCCUCUUUCUUGAAUAAUGCAUCAUUUUCAACAUAGACUUGUAGGGCAAAGAUGGCACAUUAUUCACAGCUCAUUUCUCUGCCUGUGGCAGACAUUACUAAUUGAUCACAACACUCUUUGCCACUGAGUGCAGAUGUAGCCUCAGAUCCCUUUCAAUGCAGUGCUCUAGUACCUUGCUACUCAAAAUGUAGUUUCCGAACUGGCAGCAUCAGCAUUACCUGGGAGUCUGUGAGAAAUGCAGAAUCUCAGACCCACCCCAAACUCCCUGAGUCACAUCCUGCAUUCUCAGGUGAUUCACCACAAGGAAGGCUGGGAAGUGCUAGCCUAGGCUGCCCUUAUCAAUCAAUCAAAGCCAUUCUAUGGGAUGAAUGUGUGUGUCCUCCCUAUUUCAGAGGCACACUACAUGGCUCUGUCCUUGCUCCUGUCCUUUUCCAAGCGCUUAUCUAUGCAUUGUAUGAGAACAUAGGUCAUAGGCUGAUCUGAUUUGCUGACAGUAAGAAUCUCAGGGGAAAGCUGAAACACUGGAUUGGGGAAUCAUGAUACAAACCCACUGAGAGGAUGGAGCAAAGGACCAAUUUCAACAAUUGGCUAAAUAAAGUUCAACCAAAAAAAAGACUUCACAGGAGUAUACUUGAAAAUAGGGCAUUAGGGGGUUCACAGCAUCUGUUCCGGAACAGGUACCUGGUGUUCUUAAGAGGGUUCUAUUACAGAUUAGUUUGGGAAGCACCACUGUGCUUUUUCCUCCUCUUAGAAAGUCCAUUUAUAGGCCAGGCGUGGUGGCUCAUGCCUGUAAUCCCAGCACUUUGAGAGGCCGAGGCGGGCAGAUCACCUGAGGUCAGGAGUUCAAGAACAGCCUGGCCAACAUGGUGAAACCCCAUCUCUAUAAAAAUACAAAAAAAUUAGCCAGGCAUGAUGGCGGGUGCCUGUAAUCCCAGCUACUCAGGAGGCUGUGGUGAGAGAAUCGCUUGAGCCUAGGAGGCAGAGGUUACAGUGAGCCGAGAUCGCACCAUUGCACCCCAGCCUAGGCAACAAAAGUGAAACUCCGUCUCAAAAAAAAGAAAAAAAAAAAGCCAUUUAUGUGGCUGGGUGUGGAGGCUCACACCUGUAAUCCCAGCACACUGGGAGGCAGAGGUGGGAGAAUUACUUGAGCCCAGGAGUUCAAGACCAGCCUGGACAACACAGUGAGACUCUGUCUCAAUUAAAAAAAAAAAAAAAAGUCAAUUUAUGCACUAGAAAAUACAGAGACCUGGAUGCCCAUGGUAAAGAAGUAAAUUUCUCUUUGUUUAAAUCAGUAGUCCU
rnacentral:lncRNA from 10 species